ACUGGAGUUCAGACGUGUGCUCUUCCGAUCUAGGCUAAAUAUUUCUAGAGAUCGAUAGUGAACCAGUACCGCGAGGGAAAGGUGAAAAGCAGCCCGGUAAGGGCAGUGAAAUAGUUCUGAAUCCGCACAUCUACAAGGAGUCGAAGAGGAUUUAUUCCUCGACGGCGUGCCUAUUGAAGAAUGAGCCGGCGAGUUUACGCACACGGCGUGGCUAAGUCCUGAACGGACGGAGCCGAAGGGAAACCGAGUGUGAACAGCGCGUUUGUCGCGUGCGUAAGACCCGAAGCCAGGUGAGCUUGUCAUGAGCAGGGUGAACCACUCCGAAAGGUGUGGGGAGGCCCGAACCCGUUGAUCGUACAACGUCUUGGGAUGACUUGUGACAAGGAGUGAAAAGCUAAUCGAACCUGGUAAUAGCUGGUUCUCUCCGAAACAGCUUUUGGGCUGGCGUCUGAUGUAUCUCCUGGGGGUAGAGCACUGGAAGGGUUAAACAGGGAGCAAUCUCGUUGACCCUAUCAAACUCCGAAUACCAGCGAGUUUUAUCAGGCGGUUAGACGGUGGGGGCGAAGCUCCAUUCGUCGAGAAGGGAAGAGCCUAGAUCUCAAGUUAAGGUCCCUAAAUUUGCGCUAAGUGCAUCUUAAGGAAGUUGAAACUCUAAGACAGUGAGGAUGUUGGCUUAGAAGCAGCCACCAUUUAAAGAAAGCGUAACAGCUCACUCAUCGAGAGUUUCUGCGCCGAAGAUAAUCGGGGCUAAGCGCAGUACCGAAACUGAGGGAUCGAUCCUGCUUCGGCAGGACGAUCGGUAGGAGAGCGUUCGAAUCCGCGAUGAAGGACAAGGGGUGACCCGCUCUGGAGCGAUUCGAAGUGAGAAUGCCGGCACAAGUAACCACAUUGCAGGUGAGAAUCCUGCACGCCGAAAGACCGAGGUUUCCUUGGCACUGAUAAUCAGCCAAGGGUUAGUCGGGCCUAAGCCGAUGGCGAACGCCGAAGGCGAUGGACAUACGGUUAAUAUUCCGUAACCGUGCAUGUAUGCGAUGGAGAGACGGAGUGCUGUAGAUAUCGCGCACAAUUGGAUGUGCGUCAGCGUCGUGAGGAGGGGAUAUAGGAAAAUCCGUAUCCCGCCACUCCGAGCGACGAGGGAAUGUGCUGGUUCGCCAGCGUUGACGAUAUUGAGCGCGCUUCCGAGAAAAUCUUCUAAGCACAAUAUAUGCAUGCCCGUACCGCAAACCGACACAGGUGGUCUGGUCGAGAAGACCAAGGCGAACGAGUGAGAGGUCCUCAAGGAACUCGGCAAAAAAGCGGCCGUAACUUCGGGAUAAGGCCUGCUCUCCGCAAGGAGAGCCGCAGCGAAUGAUUCCCUGGCGACUGUUUACCAAAAACACAGCUCCCUGCGAACUCAAAUGAGGAUGUAUAGGGGGUGAUGCCUGACCAAUGCCAGAAGGUCAAGUACGGUUGGUACGUGGUAGCAAUACUACGUGCUGGACUGUAUAAGCCCUGGUCAAUGUCGGCGAUAACUAUAAUCGUCCUAAGGUAGCGUAAUUCCUUGUCAGGUAAGUUCUGACGUGCACGAAUGGUAUAACGACUGGGGAACUGUCUCGAGGACUUGCUCGGUGAAAAUACAAUACCGGUGAAGAUGCCGGUUACUCAUAGUUAGACGAAAAGACCCCAGAAGCUUUACUGUAGCUUCGUAUUGGGAUUACGAUUCAUCUGCGUAGCAUAGAUGGGAGAGGUUGAAGCAGUGAUUUCGGUUGCUGUGGACUCGUCAGUGCAAUACCAUCCUUGUGCGUUGUAAUUUCUAACCUCGGGAAAACACCCGGGAGACAGUGCGUGGCAGGCAGUUUGAGUGGGGCGCUCUCCUCCUAAAAAGUAACGGAGGAGCCUACCAAGGUCAGCUAGGCGCGAAUGGAAACCGUGCCGAUAGUGCAAUGGCAUAAGCUGGCUUGACUGUGAGGGGGACAUCCCAAGCAGGUGCGAAAGCAGAGCAUAGUGAACCGACGAUUCGCAUUAGAUGCGGUCGAAGAUUAACGGAUAGAAGCUACUCCGGGGAUAACAGGUUAGUUCCGCCUAAGAGUUCAUAUCGACGGCGGAGUUCGGCACCUCGAUGUCGGCUCACCACAUCCCGGAGCUGGAGAAGGUUCCAAGGGUUUGGCUGUUC
rnacentral:rRNA from 1 species